rnacentral:rRNA from 1 species
UAGGGAAUCUUCCACAAUGGGCGAAAGCCUGAUGGAGCAACGCCGCGUGUGUGAUGAAGGCUUUAGGGCCGUAAAGCACUGUUGUAUGGGAAGAAAUGCUAGAAUAGGGAAUGAUUCUAGUUCGACGGUACCAUACCAGAAAGGGACGGCUAAAUACGUGCCAGCAGCCGCGGUAAUACGUAUGUCCCGAGCGUUAUCCGGAUUUAUUGGGCGUAAAGCGAGCGCAGACGGUUGAUUAAGUCUGAUGUGAAAGCCCGGAGCUCAACUCCGGAACGGCAUUGGAAACUGGUUAACUUGAGUGUUGUAGAGGUAAGUGGAACUCCAUGUGUAGCGGUGGAAUGCGUAGAUAUAUGGAAGAACACCAGUGGCGAAGGCGGCUUACUGGACAACAACUGACGUUGAGGCUCGAAAGUGUGGGUAGCAAACAGGAUUAGAUACCCUGGUAGUCCACACCGUAAACGAUGAAUACUAGGUGUUAGGAGGUUUCCGCCUCUUAGUGCCGAAGCUAACGCAUUAAGUAUUCCGCCUGGGGAGUACGACCGCAAGGUUG